CGAACGCUGGCGGCGUGCUUAACACAUGCAAGUCGAGCGGUAAGGCCCUUCGGGGUACACGAGCGGCGAACGGGUGAGUAACACGUGGGUGACCUGCCUCUAGCUCUGGGAUAAGCCUGGGAAACUGGGUCUAAUACCGGAUAUGACUCCACGGCGCAUGUUGUGGGGUGGAAAGCCUUGUGUGGCUAGAGAUGGGCCCGCGGCCUAUCAGCUUGUUGGUGGGGUGAUGGCCUACCAAGGCGACGACGGGUAGCCGCCUGAGAGGCGACCGGCCACACUGGGACUGAGACACGGCCCAGACUCCUAGGGAGGCAGCAGUGGGGAAUCUUGCGCAA
rnacentral:rRNA from 1 species